GGGCUUAUAGUUUAAUUGGUUGAAACGUACCGCUCAUAACGGUUAGAUUGUAGGUUCGAGCCCUACUAAGCCUA
rnacentral:tRNA from 16 species